GAUGAACGCUAGCUACAGGCUUAACACAUGCAAGUCGAGGGGAAACGCCAUCGAAAGCUUGCUUUUGAUGGGCGUCGACCGGCGCACGGGUGAGUAACGCGUAUCCAACCUGCCCAUCACUUGGGGAUAACCUUGCGAAAGUAAGACUAAUACCCAAUGAUAUCUCUAGAAGACAUCUGAAAGAGAUUAAAGAUUUAUCGGUGAUGGAUGGGGAUGCGUCUGAUUAGCUUGUUGGCGGGGUAACGGCCCACCAAGGCAACGAUCAGUAGGGGUUCUGAGAGGAAGGUCCCCCACAUUGGAACUGAGACACGGUCCAAACUACUACGGGAGGCAGCAGUGAGGAAUAUUGGUCAAUGGGCGAGAGCCUGAACCAGCCAAGUAGCGUGCAGGAAGACGGCCCUAUGGGUUGUAAGCUGCUUUUAUAAGGGAAUAAAGUGAGAGUCGUGACUCUUUUUGUAUGUACCUUAUGAAUAAGGACCGGCUAAUUCCGUG
rnacentral:rRNA from 1 species